rnacentral:rRNA from 1 species
AUUGAACGCUGGCGGCAGGCUUAACACAUGCAAGUCGAGCGGGGUGAUGGUGCUUGCACUAUCACUUAGCGGCGGACGGGUGAGUAAUGCUUAGGAAUCUGCCUAUUAGUGGGGGACAACAUCUCGAAAGGGAUGCUAAUACCGCAUACGUCCUACGGGAGAAAGCAGGGGAUCACUUGUGACCUUGCGCUAAUAGAUGAGCCUAAGUCGGAUUAGCUAGUUGGUGGGGUAAAGGCCUACCAAGGCGACGAUCCGUAGCGGGUCUGAGAGGAUGAUCCGCCACACUGGGACUGGGACACGGCCCAGACUCCUACGGGAGGCAGCAGUGGGGAAUAUUGGACAAUGGGGGGAACCCUGAUCCAGCCAUGCCGCGUGUGAAGAAGGCCUUAUGGUUGUAAAGCACUUUAAGCGAGGAGGAGGCUCUUUUGGUUAAUACCCAAGAUGAGUGGACGUUACUCGCAGAAUAAGCACCGGCUAACUCUGUGCCAGCAGCCGCCGUAA